AUCGGUGGGAAGAGACAUUUAUAGUGUGCCGUUGCGCGGUGCAACAGUUCACAAAAAGAAGCUGUGGAUUCUCCCUGAUUGGAGGUUUCUUUUAAAAACAGAUGGUCCAACAGACACGGUCACGUCCUCUGCCUCAGCAGCCUCAGGUCCCCAAGACGGCAGCCGCCUUCCCGGGCACGGCGAUCCCACACCGCACUUUGGAAUGUGCAACCAUUCCCAUCUGUUGCUCAAGGUCACGGCUGAAACUGAGCAGAAAGUGAAGAGGUCCUGAUACUUUCAUCAUUCAAGAAUUAAAUGAAAAACUUGAAGAACAACGAAAUCACUGAAAAUUUGAAAAAUAGACGCCUAGGUCCCAUCCAGCUCCCCAGAUAUUCUCCUUCUGGGCUGUGAGGAGGAGCCCAGAAAUCCAUAGUUUGAAAAAUGUCCAAUGUGCAGGGUUAUAAUUCACUGUUCUAAAGGUUCAAUGGCUGGUUUCAGAAGCAAAUUAAUAGCUUUUCACAGUCAAGUGAUACACGUUAAGUUUUACUGUCAGGGAAAUAAUCUUUAAAUCCUUCAGGUCUUCCAAGGGAAAGAUCCACGUGUGGAAAGGCUGUUUCUCCUUCAACCUGGGGGAAGUCCAGGACCAGGGCCGACAGUGGGAAGGACUCUUCUUUCCCCACGUCUGUCAGGUGUGCUGUUUGCUGCUACCGUGGGGACGAGCUCACCCACCAGAGGGAUACGUGAGGGCUCCAGUCACUGAAGAACUAAGUGUUAAGCUUUUCCUUGCUGUGGUUGACCCAGACUUGUUACGUAGGCUAUAGACCCACAGAUGGAUACUCUAUCCCCGGUCUGUGCUGUCCAGACCUGCCCCCAGGCUCCCUAACACUUGCCCACCAUCCUCCUGACCUGUAGGACCCACAGCUCUCUUAGAACCAUAAUCCUGGCUUUAGCCUCGGUUCUUGGGUCUGGCCUCUGUCCUGCUUGUCAUGAGGAAUUUGCUAGUACUCUUGCUACCCAUCCUAACAGCAGGCCUGGGCGGGACCAAGCUGGCCUGACCUGUUGCUGAAACACUCUUAGCCUGAUAAGCUUUGAAAUUUUGUUACAAAGGGGUUUAAUUGGUACCAAGAAGUUGGUGGUUCCUUCAGUAGUGCUUAGAUCUGUCUUUAAAACCUUAUAGGGCUUCCCUGGUGGCGCAGUGGUUGAGAGUCUGCCUGCCAGUGCAGGGGACACGGGUUGGAGCCCUGGUCUGGGAAGAUCCCACAUGCCGCGGAGCAACUAGGCCCGUGAGCCACAAUUACUGAGCCUGCGCGUCUGGAGCCUGUGCUCUGCAACAAGAGAGGCCGCGAUAAGGAGAGGCCCGCGCACCGCGAUGAAGAG